rnacentral:lncRNA from 1 species
AAUGAUAGGUUUACUUCUAUUCCUUAUACUAAAGCUGCAUCUUUAGAAAAGAAGAUUAAUUUUUUCACCUCUUCUGUUCGAAAAUACAGUGCUUCUUUGAAGGUAGAGUAUGAGAUGGACUCAUAGAACUUGGAGAACUAACAAAAGGCCCAUGAGCAGAUGGAACAGAGGACAGACAUUUUUCUUCAUGGUAUCAGCAAAAACAGACAACAGGAAGUUGAGUCAAACAAGACCAGAUUCCCUUUAUGACAGCAACCUGAUGGUCAGAGGAUACGCAUUAAGUUUCCCAAGGUUACUGCUGCCAACAGAAGAGUUCAAAGGAGAAAUCUGGACUGGAGAUGUCAUUAAACACACUGAUUAG